CAGCUCGUGUCGUGAGAUGUUGGGUUAAGUCCCGCAACGAGCGCAACCCUUGAUCUUAGUUGCCAGCAUUCAGUUGGGCACUCUAAGGUGACUGCCGGUGACAAACCGGAGGAAGGUGGGGAUGACGUCAAAUCAUCAUGCCCCUUAUGACCUGGGCUACACACGUGCUACAAUGGAUGGUACAAAGGGCAGCGAAGCCGCGAGGUGGAGCCAAUCCCACAAAACCAUUCUCAGUUCGGAUUGCAGGCUGCAACUCGCCUGCAUGAAGCCGGAAUCGCUAGUAAUCGCGGAUCAGCAUGCCGCGGUGAAUACGUUCCCGGGCCUUGUAC
rnacentral:rRNA from 1 species